rnacentral:rRNA from 1 species
GAGUGCGAUCAUACUAGUGUUAAUGCACCGUAUCCCAUCGGAAUUCUACAGUUAAGCUUGCUUGGGCUAGAGUAAUACUGGUAUGGGUGACCUCCUGGGAAAUUCUACUAUUGCAACCU